AACGAACGCUGGCGGCAUGCCUAACACAUGCAAGUCGAACGAGAUCUUCGGGUCUAGUGGCGCACGGGUGCGUAACGCGUGGGAAUCUGCCCUUUGGUUCGGAAUAACAGUUGGAAACGACUGCUAAUACCGGAUGGUGACGAAAGUCCAAAGAUUUAUCGCCAGAGGAUGAGCCCGCGUAGGAUUAGCUAGUUGGUGUGGUAAAGGCGCACCAAGGCGACGAUCCUUAGCUGGUCUGAGAGGAUGAUCAGCCACACUGGGACUGAGACACGGCCCAGACUCCUACGGGAGGCAGAAGCGGGGAAUAUUGGACAAUGGGCGAAAGCCUGAUCCAGCAAUGCCGCGUGAGUGAUGAAGGCCUUAGGGUUGUAAAGCUCUUUUACCCGGGAUGAUAAUGACAGUACCGGGAGAAUAAGCUCCGGCUAACUCCGUGCCAGCAGCCGCCGUAA
rnacentral:rRNA from 1 species